UAAUAUAUUAUCCGGAGACGCGCUCUACACUGAUGAGAUAAGCGAGUUCACUCCUAGGCCGGAAGGUCUGGGUAAUCUUGUGAAACUUCAUCGUGCUGGGGAUAGAGCAUUGCAAUUAUUGCUCUUCAACGAGGAAUUCCUAGUAAGCGCAAGUCAUCAGCUUGCGUUGAUUACGUCCCUGCCCUUUGUACACACCGCCCGUCGUUACUACCGAUUGAAUGACUUAGUGAGGACUCGGGAUUGGCGACUAGACUGGCAACAGAACUAGUCACUGAGAACUUGUUCAAACUUGGUCAUUUAGAGGAAGUACAAGUCGUAACAAGGUAUCCGUAGG
rnacentral:rRNA from 1 species